AACGAACGCUGGCGGCAGGCCUAACACAUGCAAGUCGAGCGAGGACUUCGGUCCUAGCGGCGGACGGGUGAGUAACGCGUGGGAACGUGCCCUUUGCUUCGGAAUAGCCCUGGGAAACUGGGAGUAAUACCGGAUGAGCCCCUUGGGGGAAAGAUUUAUCGGCGAAGGAUCGGCCCGCGUUGGAUUAGGUAGUUGGUGGGGUAAUGGCCUACCAAGCCGACGAUCCAUAGCUGGUUUGAGAGGAUGAUCAGCCACACUGGGACUGAGACACGGCCCAGACUCCUACGGGAGGCAGCAGUGGGGAAUCUUAGACAAUGGGGGAAACCCUGAUCUAGCCAUGCCGCGUGAGCGAUGAAGGCCUUAGGGUUGUAAAGCUCUUUCAGCUGGGAAGAUAAUGACGGUACCAGCAGAAGAAGCCCCGGCUAACUCCGUG
rnacentral:rRNA from 1 species